rnacentral:rRNA from 1 species
UACGUAGGGGGCAAGCGUUGUCCGGAUUUAUUGGGCGUAAAGAGCGUGUAGGCGGCCAUACAGGUCCGUUGUGAAAACUCGAGGCUCAACCUCGAGACGCCGGUGGAAACCGUAUGGCUAGAGUCCGGAAGAGGAGAGUGGAAUUCCUGGUGUAGCGGUGAAAUGCGCAGAUAUCAGGAAGAACACCCGUGGCGAAGGCGGCUCUCUGGGACGUGACUGACGCUGAGACGCGAAAGCGUGGGGAGCAAACAGG